AAAUUAAGAUGAGAAAGGAGAAGAGAUUCAGAAAUUUUGAGAAGAGAAGGGGAUAGAGUAGCUAACAAAUUUUCCAACUGAAUCCCCCUUCCCUCCCCCUGGAGGUUAUAACAAAGAAAACAACGUGUUUGUGUCAUGUGUCGUGUUUGUGCUUUUACAAUUUAAAAUAAAAAUGAAAACGGCGUCGUCUCUUCCAUAGAAAACGGUGUCGUCUCCUUAAUUGAAUUUCUGGUAGCUCUGCUGACUUUUGCUGCUUUUCUUUCCCCAAUCUGUGGUGAUCCUUGAUUGCAGUCCUUUUCCGUUACAUUCCUCCCCCUCAAACUGACCUUGUCCCGAAGGUUGAAAAUGAGGAUAUGUCUCCUGAAUUGAGGCUGCAUCUUCUCAAGUGGCAUCAUCGUUCAUAGUGUCUUUCCAUUGAACUAACCACUGAGUGACCGCGUGGUUACUCUUUUUCAUGAUUCGAGUCUGCAGAACUGUAAGUGGUUCCCUGUGGUGCUUUUCCUGUUCCCCAUCCUCCGGUAUCAACAAAAUAGGUACCUCAUGUUCUCCUAUUUUCCUUUUGAGUAAAGAGACAUGGAAUACAUGAUGUAUCGUAGAAGUAGAUAGUAGGUUGAGUUCAUAUGCCACCUGUCCAAUCCUCUUGACGAUUUGGUAAGGACCGUAGUACUUAGCAGCUAAUUUCUGGUUGCUCCUUGCUAUCACUGAUUGCUGCCUGUAAGGUUGGAGUUUCAGAUAAACCCAAUUACCUUCCUAGAAUUCCCUUUCUAUUUGGUGUUGAUCAGCAUAAAAUUUCAUUCUUGCCCUGGCUUCAGCCAAAUGCUCCUUCAGUGACAAAUGCUCUAGAUUUGUCUCCUCUCUUCUUGACAGUGCAUCGGCUACAACGUUAUCAACUCCCUUCUUAUAUUGUAUUUCAUAACUAAGCCCAAGUAACU
rnacentral:lncRNA from 1 species